ACUGCAUGUGAUUCCACAAGAGGGUAAUGUUUUAGGUCAUUUCUAAAUUAAAGUUAUUCGGAAGCAGCGGAUGCAGAUGUUAUUUCUGAGGGGGCGUACCCGGUUGAAUAACAGACUAACGUUAGGUAGCUACAUUUCUGAGAUUCUGUUCAACAUCGAGGUAGACAACAAGACUUGCUAUUUUUUCAAAAAGAUAAACUCAGUGGUUAAAGGAAUAUUGGGAAAAUGUUAAGACAGUCUUGCUGUAUCACAUUAGCGUUGAACAUUAGUAAAUUCUUCAACUACUUUCUUCGAAUGGGACUUAUUUGAAAUUAUAUCCGAGCCCUUCGCGUUGUGUAGAUGCGUGUCCCUGUGUCGGUGCUGCAGUGAGCUCGACCGGUAGGGGUGUGGAAGACUGAACAGAUUAAAUUACCACAACAUCAACCCAGGCCGCCAUUUUUACACCACUUUCAUGAGGACAGCGAAAAAAAUCGUGUGGCCAAGAAGACCUCGACGCAGGACUGCCGUGGCUCCGCCUCCCCCGACGAGCCCCCCCUCAUCAACCCGAACCCCGCCCCUACACUCUGCGGGGUUCACCCGCCGACAAACACAGGGGCGCAGCGAGAGGAGAGAGUUCAUCAGCGAAAAGCGCGUUCACGAGAACCAGUAGAACUGAUCUGUAGUCCAACUCCAAGCCUCUCCUUUUGAGAAAUGGAAAAUGAGCUCGCUGUAUUCACUCACAGCGUCAUGCUUUUAUGGGGCAGAUUACAUCUGGAGAUUUGUAGUUGUGCUUUGUGUUACAUUAUUCCCUCAAUCACAACUAAUUCAAGCUGGAGUGCUUUGUUGCAAGCUUGAAACAUUAAAUAUUUAUGUUAAGAUGUAGAUGUGUAAUAAUGCCUAGCUUUUGUAAAUUGGAAAGUUUCUCAAGGAAACAGACUAUGAUACAAACGAUAAAAUAAAAAAGGAAAUGAAUGGGGGAAAGUGAAGAUGUGUUCUGAAAAUAACAAUACAUGUUCAAGACUGCAAUGUCUCAUCAAGCACACUCAUCAGAUGAUUGUGACUGGAAAUUGUAGUAAGAUUAUACAAAUGGCAAGAGAGUUCAAAUGUUAUGUAUUUUUUCAAUUGAAUAGUCACCCUUACAUCCUUCUCAAUAUUCUUGUAUCAUCAGAGUAUUAAAGUUGAAAAAUCAGUGUCACUGAGAUUGAUAUGA